GGCUCAGAGCGAACGUUAGCGGCGGGCUUAACACAUGCAAGUCGAGCGAGAAAGGUCUUCGGGCUGAGUACAGCGGCGGACGGGUGAGUAACGCGUAGGAAUCUACCUGGUAGUGGGGGACAACAUGGUGAAAACCAUGCUAAUACCGCAUACGCCCUAUGGGGGAAAGCGGGGGACCUUCGGGCCUCGCGCUAUCAGAUGAGCCUGCGUAGGAUUAGCUUGUUGGUGAGGUAAAGGCUCACCAAGGCGACGAUCCUUAGCUGGUCUGAGAGGAUGAUCAGCCACACUGGAACUGAGACACGGUCCAGACUCCUACGGGAGGCAGCAGUGGGGAAUAUUGCGCAAUGGGCGAAAGCCUGACGCAGCCAUGCCGCGUGUGUGAAGAAGGCCCUUGGGUUGUAAAGCACUUUCAAUUGGGAAGAAAGGUUGCGCGUUAAUAGCACGUAGCUGUGACGUUACCUUUAGAAGAAGCACCGGCUAACUCCGUG
rnacentral:rRNA from 1 species